rnacentral:rRNA from 1 species
UGAAUACGAGACGCUAAGGCGUCGAAGUAGUGUAUGUCAUACUUCCAAGAAAAGCUUGCACUGUCAUAAGUAAAAAAUGCCUGUACCAUAACCGACACAGGUGGGUAGGUAGAGUAUACUAAGGGGCGCGAGAUAACUCUCUCUAAGGAACUCGGCAAAAUAACUCCGUAACUUCGGGAGAAGGAGUACCUUAUUCUAUAAGGUUGCAAUAACAAGAUCCAAGCAACUGUUUAUCAAAAACACAGGUCUCCGCUAAGUCGUAAGACGAUGUAUGGGGGCUGACGCCUGCCCAGUGCCAGAAGGUUAAAGAAGUCGGUUAGCAUUAGCGAAGCUGGUAACUGAAGCCCUGGUGAACGGCGGCCGUAACAAUAACGGUCCUAAGGUAGCGAAAUUCCUUGUCGGGUAAGUUCCGACCCGCACGAAAGGCGUAAUGAUUUGGAUACUGUCUCGGAGAGGGGCUCGGUGAAAUAGACUUGUCUGUGAAGAUGCGGACUACCUGCACCAGGACAGAAAGACCCUAUGAAGCUUUACUGUAACUUGAAAUUGAAAUUGGACUUUAUUCGCGCAGUAUAGGUGGGAGGUGUUGAUUAUAAUCUUGCGGGAUUAUUGGAGCCAUCAGUGAGAUACCACUCUUGUAAUGUUAGAUUUCUAACUUUGAAUCAUUAUCUGGUCAAAGGACAGUUUCAGGCGGGCAGUUUGACUGGGGCGGUCGCCUCCCAAACGGUAACGGAGGCGUACAAAGGUUUCCUCUGAACGGGUAGAAAUCGUAUCUAGAGUGUAAAGGCAUAAGGAAGCUUGACUGUGAGACCUACAAGUCGAACAGGGACGAAAGUCGGUCUUAGUGAUCUGACGGUACUGAGUGGAAAGGCCGUCACUCAACGGAUAAAAGUUACUCUAGGAUAACAGGCUGAUCUCCCCCAAGAGUUCACAUCGACGGGGAGGUUUGGCACCUCGAUGUCGGCUCAUCGCAUCCUGGGGCGGUAGUACGUCCCAAGGGUUGGGCUGUUCGCCCAUGAAAGCGGUACGCGAGCUGGGUUCAGAACGUCGUGAGACAGUUCGGUCCAUAUCCGGUGUAGGCGUUAGAAUAUUGAGAGGAGCCUUCUUUAGUACGAGAGGACCGAGAAGGACAUACCUCUGGUGUACCAGUUAUCGUGCCAACGGUAAACGCUGGGUAGCUAUGUAUGGAGUGGAUAACCGCUGAAAGCAUCUAAGUGGGAAGCCCACCUCAAGAUAAGUAUUCU